CCGAAUUCGUCGACAACAGAGUUUGAUCCUGGCUCAGGAUGAACGCUGGCGGCGUGCCUAAUACAUGCAAGUCGAGCGAACUUUUGGGAGCUUGCUCCCAAAAGUUAGCGGCGGACGGGUGAGUAACACGUGGGCAACCUGCCUAUAAGACUGGGAUAACUUCGGGAAACCGGAGCUAAUACCGGAUAACAUUUGAGACCACAUGGUCUCAAAUUGAAAGAUGGCUUUUAGCUAUCACUUAUAGAUGGGCCCGCGGCGCAUUAGCUAGUUGGUGAGGUAAUGGCUCACCAAGGCAACGAUGCGUAGCCGACCUGAGAGGGUGAUCGGCCACACUGGGACUGAGACACGGCCCAGACUCCUACGGGAGGCAGCAGUAGGGAAUCUUCCGCAAUGGACGAAAGUCUGACGGAGCAACGCCGCGUGAGCGAAGAAGGUCUUCGGAUCGUAAAGCUCUGUUGUUAGGGAAGAACAAGUAUCGUUCGAAUAGGGCGGUACCUUGACGGUACCUAACCAGAAAGCCACGGCUAACUACGUGCCAGCAGCCGCGGUAAUACGUAGGUGGCAAGCGUUAUCCGGAAUUAUUGGGCGUAAAGCGCGCGCAGGCGGUCCUUUAAGUCUGAUGUGAAAGCCCACGGCUCAACCGUGGAGGGUCAUUGGAAACUGGGGGACUUGAGUGCAGAAGAGGAGAGCGGAAUUCCACGUGUAGCGGUGAAAUGCGUAGAGAUGUGGAGGAACACCAGUGGCGAAGGCGGCUCUCUGGUCUGUAACU
rnacentral:rRNA from 1 species